AAGGAAUAUUGGUCAAUGGACGCAAGUCUGAACCAGCCAUGCCGCGUGAAGGAUGAAGGUCCUCUGGAUUGUAAACUUCUUCUAUCUGGGACGAAAACGGGAUUUUUAUCUCAAUUGACGGUACCAGAGGAAUAAGCACCGGCUAACUCCGUGCCAGCAGCCGCGGUAAUACGGAGGGUGCGAGCGUUAUCAGGAUUUACUGGGUUUAAAGGGUGCGUAGGUGGGCUUAUAAGUCAGUGGUGAAAUCUCCGAGCUUAACUUGGAAACUGCCGUUGAUACUAUAGGUCUUGAAUUAUCUGGAGGUAAGCGGAAUAUGUCAUGUAGCGGUGAAAUGCUUAGAUAUGACAUAGAACACCAAUUGCGAAGGCAGCUUACUACAUAUAAAUUGACGCUGAGGCACGAAAGCGUGGGGAUCAAACA
rnacentral:rRNA from 1 species